CAGCUAGGAUUACUCUCCGGUGGAAGUCUUCCAGAGGCCCAUUCAUGGAGACUCAGGCAAAGGUCACGCUGGGAUUUCUGAGUCUGUCUCUGGAAGAGAGGAGCCUAAUUGCCUCGUCCAGGAAGCUGGUCUUCAUCAGCCCGGCCUGGCUUUUCAUGUGGGGCCUGGCGGACGCGGUCGAGCUCGCAGGAAGAGGAUGCUGUCGAAUUCCGGCUUUCUCCAGGCCUCACUCGGUCUGUCCUUGCUUUUUUUUUCUUUCCCUUUUUCUUCUGCUUCCAUCUGUGACCAGCCUCAAAUUGCCUUUUCUGAGACAUGAAUAGCUCCCGUCUUCUUCAGAUUGGCCCAAGGCACGGCAGCAGCCCCAGUGCCUACCAUGAAGCUUGGGACAUAGGAGGUGCUUAAUAAAUGUGCUGCCUUACAUUAAAUCUAGAAAAUGCUUUUAUGAGUGUCCAGGUGGAUCACGAAAAUGAUGCUACUGAACUUCAACGUGUAGAAAAUGGCCCCAAAGAUUUUUGGAAUCUUCCAGUGUGGGUCUUCCUUGAAUCACCUGCACCUGAACUGAGUCACCAAACUCCUCUCACCUGCUCCCCCUUCCCCACCCACCUGCUCUGUCUAAAAGCUUAAGAGAAUACUGGAACUUACUUUACCUUUCUAGACCUCAGUUUCCUCAUCUGUAAAAUGAGGAUGUCAGAAUAAGCAACCUCAAAGGUCCAUCAAUUUCAGCUGUAAAUGCAAGGUCCUCUGACUCUCCACUGGGACUUUCUCUGAAGACAAAAGCCUUCAUGCCCAUUAAACUCUUGAUUAAGCUGCUACUGCCAUCUCACCUUUUCCAAUUUUAUAGGACAGAUGAACUUUCCUUAAUGGUAGUCACUAUUGCAAACCAGCAUUUGCUUUCUUAAAAACAAAUUGCCGUAUGUUUGAAGAAUCAAGGUUUGAUAAGACACAUGACAAAAACGCCUGAACUGGGCAUUGGGGAAUACUUGGCCAUGGUAAGUCGGGAUGUUUUUCUGCAUUUUUCAAAGCUAGAUUUUCCCUACAAAUCUGGCUCCUUUAAGUCAUCAAAAUCUUUCAGGUCAAGCAUUCAGUGGCAGGUGGGAGCAGUCAGAAGGACUUUCAACAUCCAGUAUCUUUUUAGAAUAGGAAACUUUUUUAUGUGUUUCCUACUUCUGGGGAUCAAGCAAAGACAAGAUCUGGAAUGGCUUCUGUCUUGGGACAGUGUUCCUACUCUGAGAAAUGAAGACAUUUGGAGAAUGGUUCAAGUUCCAUAAAGCUCCUGGCAGGCAGAAACAACCUUGAUUGCUUGAGAUGAAGGAGAGAGAGCAGCAGGCUGAACGCAGAAUCAAUGGCCCGGUGCCAAGAGCUUCAUCAAAUGAAUAAUGGCUUCCACUUGACAAUCAGGAAAGUGCCUCUUCUCCUGCAGAUUUAGUUUUUAAUGAUGAUUAGAGAGGAUGGGCCCCGAAAAUUUCUGUGGUAGAAAUGACCUCCUAUUAAUUUCUGUUCCCUGAAAUUCUGGAUUUCAAAGCUACCCUCCAGCUGCACCAGCACAGGCCCUGACAUAAAGGGACUAUUAUCUUUGUAAUUGUAGCAACAAGUAGGAAAUUUGUCAUUGAUUAGUGGAGACUUUGUAACUUCACGAUCCCCUCGUGUGGACUGGGUCCCCACUUUGCUUUCUGAGGCAAAUGCUACAUUGGAGCCCAGGCAUCUCCCCCAAUGUCCUUUUUUUCAUUUAAGGCGAGCUUCCUUAGAGCAUGCUGGUUUUGUCAUGCACAGGCUGUGAGCGGUGGGCCAAGUUAUAAUUUCUUAGUUUGUGAGAUUUUGUGAGAGGCAGCACAGAGUAGUCAGGAAGACUGGGGGCUCAAGUCCUGUCUCUGACAUCAUGCUGGCCGUGUGACCCUGCGCAGGUCACUGAACCCAUGGCCGGCCAAUGCUCUACAGCACAGCUGAGUUUCUAUGCUGGGGAGUUGGUUCCAUGCAAUGGGGAAAUCACAGGUCUGGACAAAGCCUACCAAAACCAUGCCCUGCUAAGCUGAGGGUUAAGCCGCAAUGACUUCUGGGUGCUCUUGUCUUCCAGGCAAAUUUAAAAGACUAGUGAGCCCACCAUCUUGUUGGCUGAUAUCACUGUGGAGAAGGGAGAGGAUGCAGGCAAGAGUAACCCAGCCAGAUGUGUAGACAUCUAGGCCCCUGGAGGGAAUGACUACACUGAGACACUUCCAUUCCUUGUAUAGAGAGACGUCGAGGGAGAGGGUGAAGUGCCCUGGGUCUCAGUGAUUGUGCAUGAACCUUGCUCAUGUUGGUGACCACCUCACUUGGUGGCCUUUGGACAGCUCUCUCUACUCCCCUGGUCUUCACUGAGAUGCUUUUCAAGAUGAGCUACUUUCCAAGGUUCCUUCUCAUUCGAAAUUCUAUAAACCUGGACAAUCCUGUGCCUAAAAUCAUCACCCCCCAAGUACUAACAAAGUCAAAUAUAGAGAAUGGACCUUCAAGGCCCCCCACUUUUACAGAUGAGGGCUCUGAGGCCCUGAGCAUGUCAGUGAUGUUCCUGAGGCCACACACUUAGUACAAUUAUUAACCAAAGAAAUCUCAAUGCAUAACACUUUUCUCCUGACAUUUUUAUUUUCCAGGAGAGGCUAAAUUCAGAAGAGGAUGAACUGAUUUUGGCCACAGAAGUAGAAUUACCGGCCAGGUUCUAGACUAACGAAGGCCCUGAUGGGCCCCUCCUGUAAGGGGUCGCAUUCCAUGGGGAAAGACUUAAGUCAGCUGUCAACUAAAGCCAUAUCAAGAACACAGCUUGUUACCAAUGGCCCUUGUUGUGUUCCAGUUACAGAAAAACAAAGGUUUAGAAGUAAGAAUACAAGUUAGAAAACAAAACAAAACUGGCUCAGAUUCAGGAAGACAGUGGUGGUUGGCCCCACCCUUUGGUCCAGCAGGCACCAACACCAGAACUAAUGCAGCUGUCAUGGGCCAGGAAAGGUGAGAAGUGUGAAGAGCCAGGAAAGGUGAGAUGUGUGAAGAGCUAACUGUGCGAAACCAUAAACCACUUUUGCCCAGUAACUAUGGCCCCUUUGUUGACACAAUCACUUAGGACCUAAAAUAACAUUGGAGGCAGUUGGAAAGUCUGAUGGAAAAUAAGAAUGAAAAGGAGGAAAGAUUCAUAGUGCUGUCCAAGAUUUUUGAUUCUCUCCCGGAGGCUCAGCAGCAUCCAGGACAGGGCAGAGAAUCUGGUCCUCAGAGGUGCUGGGGCUGUCGCUGCCAAGCAAGCAUUGACUUCCAUGAAUCGAGGGAGGACCCGUGUGGGGGACAAACAGAAACAUGGAGCCUUCCCGGAUCCACCCACAGCUCCAAAGUUUGAAGAAAAAAUCAAGAACAAGAUGUUGCUUUUUUUGUCUUGAGAUGCAAGUAACCUUGUACUGGAAAGUCCAGCUGAACUUUUCUAGCUGAAGGCCUGGUCUAGAGAAAGGUUUACAUGCAAUUUCUUUUUGUCAGAAAACAAACAGACCAAGAGGUGGUGACUUAAUAGCUUGGAAUCAUAGCUUGGAGAGCCAGAAGGGGCCUCAGAGCUUUCUGGUCCCCCGGGCAAGAAAGGAAUGCCUAUUACAACAGGCCCGGGGCCUUCCCAGGUCCCCCUUCCUGCUGAUGCCUUCUCUCCAAGAUCACCUCCAACUAAUACGCUCUCUUGUUUUGUACAUGGUUCUUAGGCAGCUGGGUGGCUCAGUGGGUAAAGACCUGGGCCUGGAGUCAGAAAGACCUGA